rnacentral:misc_RNA from 1 species
UUUUAUCAGGUCAGAAUCUCGUUAAUGGUUUAAAAUUGGAUGACUCUUUUGUCAACCAAAACUAUGCCAACAUUCCUCCUUUGCCUCCUGAUCUCACUUUAGUCCCUAGUAAUUCAGUCUUGUCUUUGGCUAAGAGCCAAGAUGGGGAUUCACAUGAGGAUUUUGAUUUCAGUGACGUGGUUCUGAAGUACAUUAAUGAGAUGCUUAUGGAAGAAGAUAUAG